UGUAAAGUUCAAGCUCCGAUUAUGAGGGCGAACCGCGAAUGGCUCAUUAAAUCAGUCAUAAUCUACUUGAUUGUUUAAAGUUUAUAUGGAUAACUGUGGUAAUUCUAGAGCUAAUACAUGCACAAAUGGGACGACUCUAGCAAUAGAGAAGUUCUGCGUUUAUUAGACUAAGACCAAUGACUAACUUCGGUUAGUCUUAUUUAAGGUGACUCUGAGUAAAUAAUGGGUGAAAGCCCAUGUUGCUGACCUGACAUUUAAAGGUUCGCAAGAAUCUGUCAGGCAAAUCAAUCGAGUGUCUGCUCUAUCAACUGUGGAUGGUAGGAUAAUUGCCUACCAUGGUGGUGACGGGUAACGGGGAGUUAGGGCUCGACUCCGGAGAACAAGCCUGAGAAACGGCUAGUAGGACUAAGGUCUGCAGCAGGCGCGAAACUUACACAAUGCUAGAUUACAAUUAGCGAUGUAGUGAAGAAAAAUAACGAUGUACUUCCAUUUAAACAUGGUAGUACAAUUGGAAUGAGACGACUAUAAAUGAGUUAGUCGAGUAACAAAUGGAGGGCAAGUCUGGUGCCAGCAGCCGCGGUAAUUCCAGCUCCAUUAGCAUACAUUAAAGUUGUUGCGGUUAAAAAGCUCGUAGUUGAAUUUUAGGCGGGCUCUAUUGGGAUGCAAUCGUUAAGGUCUCUAUGAUUAAAUUUUCGCAAUUUGUCUAGACGACUGGUUGUAACUGCCCUAUAGGAACCCGCUGUUUCGUCACUUAAUCGAGUGCGAAGCGGGCUGGUACAAGUUUGCUUAAUUGCAUCUUUGUUUCAGCAUGUUUACCUUGAGAAAAUUAGAGUGCUCACAGCAGGCAGUUGGGGUGUAAAAGCUCCUUUAAUGCUUGAAUAAUGUUGCAUGGAAUAAUAGAAUACGGCCUCGGUUCUAUUCUGUUGGUCUUAUAGAACAACAAACAAGUUGGUUAAGGCGACCAAAAGUCCAUUUGUGAGUGUGGGCUACGAUAUAUUUGAGUCAGUUUGUAUGAUAGUUCUUGUUGUCUUUGGAUAAAACCUUAGUACCCUAGCUACUUAUAUUAAACCCUCUAAAUUGUCUAGCUCAUUUAAAGCAUUCCUUAUGUGGCUAGCCUUCUAAUCAACUGAGGCAAUGGUUAAAAGAAUAGUCGCGGCGGCAUCAGUACUGCAUCGUGAGAGGUGAAAUUCUUAGACCGAUGCAAGACUAACUGAAGCGAAAGCGUUUGCCGAGGAUAUUUUCAUUAAUCAAGAACGAAAGUUAGAGGUUCGAAGGCGAUCAGAUACCGCCCUAGUUCUAACCAUAAACGUUGCCAACUAGCAAUUGGGUUGCGAUUCCUUUAAUCGAAGCUUAAAACACUUCGAUCAUUAUGAUCCACCCAGCGGCUCUCGUAGGGAAACCAAAGUGUUUGGGUUCCGGGGGAAGUAUGAUUGCAAAGUUGAAACUUAAAGGAAUUGACGGAAGGGCACCACCAGGAGUGGAGCCUGCGGCUUAAUUUGACUCAACACGGGGAAACUUACUAGAUUAGAACUCUGGAAUGAUUGACAGAUUGAUAGCUCUUUCUUGAUUCAGAGGAUGGUGGUGCAUGGCCGUUCUUGAUUCGUAUUCCGAAACGUCUGCUUAAUUGCGAUAACGAGUGAGACCUCACCCAACUAACUAGUCGUUUGGUGCGCUGUUGGAACGCAAAAGUCUUUGCAAGUUCUUGUAUGUAUGGGCAGGUUUCGAUUUGUUCAUGCAUGCUCCUUGUAUAAGAUGUUCUCUGCUCGCCAGCGGACUUCUUAGAGGGAUAAAACGGUGUUUUAGCCGUAAGAAACGAG
rnacentral:rRNA from 1 species